rnacentral:rRNA from 1 species
GACGUAGGGGGCGAGCGUUGUCCGGAUUUACUGGGCGUAAAGGGCGCGUAGGCGGCCACCGCAAGUCGACUGUGAAAUCUCCGGGCUUAACCCGGAAAGGUCAGCCGAUACUGCGGGGCUAGAGUGCAGAAGGGGCAACUGGAAUUCUCGGUGUAGCGGUGAAAUGCGUAGAUAUCGAGAGGAACACCUGCGGCGAAGGCGGGUUGCUGGGCUGACACUGACGCUGAUGCGCGAAAGCUAGGGGAGCGAACGGG